rnacentral:rRNA from 1 species
UUGAACGCUGGCGGCAGGCCUAACACAUGCAAGUCGAGCGGUAGCACAGAGAGCUUGCUCUCGGGUGACGAGCGGCGGACGGGUGAGUAAUGUCUGGGAAACUGCCUGAUGGAGGGGGAUAACUACUGGAAACGGUAGCUAAUACCGCAUAACGUCGCAAGACCAAAGUGGGGGACCUUCGGGCCUCAUGCCAUCAGAUGUGCCCAGAUGGGAUUAGCUAGUAGGUGGGGUAACGGCUCACCUAGGCGACGAUCCCUAGCUGGUCUGAGAGGAUGACCAGCCACACUGGAACUGAGACACGGUCCAGACUCCUACGGGAGGCAGCAGUGGGGAAUAUUGCACAAUGGGCGCAAGCCUGAUGCAGCCAUGCCGCGUGUGUGAAGAAGGCCUUCGGGUUGUAAAGCACUUUCAGCGGGGAGGAAGGCGAUAAGGUUAAUAACCUUGUCGAUUGACGUUACCCGCAGAAGAAGCACCGGCUAACUCCGUGCCAGCAGCCGCGGUAAUACGGAGGGUGCAAGCGUUAAUCGGAAUUACUGGGCGUAAAGCGCACGCAGGCGGUCUGUCAAGUCGGAUGUGAAAUCCCCGGGCUCAACCUGGGAACUGCAUUCGAAACUGGCAGGCUAGAGUCUUGUAGAGGGGGGUAGAAUUCCAGGUGUAGCGGUGAAAUGCGUAGAGAUCUGGAGGAAUACCGGUGGCGAAGGCGGCCCCCUGGACAAAGACUGACGCUCAGGUGCGAAAGCGUGGGGAGCAAACAGGAUUAGAUACCCUGGUAGUCCACGCCGUAAACGAUGUCGAUUUGGAGGUUGUGCCCUUGAGGCGUGGCUUCCGGAGCUAACGCGUUAAAUCGACCGCCUGGGGAGUACGGCCGCAAGGUUAAAACUCAAAUGAAUUGACGGGGGCCCGCACAAGCGGUGGAGCAUGUGGUUUAAUUCGAUGCAACGCGAAGAACCUUACCUGGUCUUGACAUCCACAGAACUUUCCAGAGAUGGAUUGGUGCCUUCGGGAACUGUGAGACAGGUGCUGCAUGGCUGUCGUCAGCUCGUGUUGUGAAAUGUUGGGUUAAGUCCCGCAACGAGCGCAACCCUUAUCCUUUGUUGCCAGCGGUUAGGCCGGGAACUCAAAGGAGACUGCCAGUGGUAAACUGGAGGAAGGUGGGGAUGACGUCAAGUCAUCAUGGCCCUUACGACCAGGGCUACACACGUGCUACAAUGGCAUAUACAAAGAGAAGCGACCUCGCGAGAGCAAGCGGACCUCAUAAAGUAUGUCGUAGUCCGGAUUGGAGUCUGCAACUCGACUCCAUGAAGUCGGAAUCGCUAGUAAUCGUAGAUCAGAAUGCUACGGUGAAUACGUUCCCGGGCCUUGUACACACCGCCCGUCACACCAUGGGAGUGGGUUGCAAAAGAAGUAGGUAGCUUAACCUUCGGGAGGGCGCUUACCACUUUGUGAUUCAUGACUGGGGUG